rnacentral:rRNA from 1 species
AUUGAACGCUGGCGGCAUGCCUUACACAUGCAAGUCGAGCGAGCGGCGGACGGGUGAGUAAUGCCUCGGAAUCUGCCUGGUAGUGGGGGAUAACGUCCGGAAAGGGGCGCUAAUACCGCAUACCAUCGGAUGUGCCCAGAUGGGAUUAGCUAGUUGGUGGGUUAACGGCUCACCAAGGCGACGAUCCCUAGCUGGUCUGAGAGGAUGACCAGCCACACGGGAACUGAGACACGGUCCAGACUCCUACGGGAGGCAGCAGUGGGGAAUAUUGCACAAUGGGCGAAAGCCUGAUGCAGCCAUGCCGCGUGUACGAAGAAGGCCUUCGGGUUGUAAAGUACUUUCAGCGGGGAGGCGUUACCCGCAGAAGAAGCACCGGCUAACUCCGUGCCAGCAGCCGCGGUAAUAC